rnacentral:snoRNA from 1 species
GGUCAGUGAUGAAUAGUAAAAGGUCUGACUGCCUAAAAAGUUCUCCUGUAUCCAGUUUCUCUCCCAGCAGCCUCUGUUUUCCCAUCAUGCUCCAGCUUUGCUUUGAUUGGCUACUUAAGCUGCUGACAGGUUUUGAUACUGAAUCCUGCAUUUCCAAAAGAAUGGGAAAGUGCAGUAACAAGUAUUGUACAUAGUUGCAUAAUAAAGGAGAGCAAGGAUCGGGGCUGAACUCUGUGCAGUACAUGAUAACAAGUUAGAAACUGAGACC